UACGUAGGUGGCAAGCGUUGUCCGGAUUUACUGGGUGUAAAGGGCGUGUAGCCGGGUUGACAAGUCAGAUGUGAAAUCCCGUGGCUUAACCACGGAGCUGCAUUUGAAACUGUUGAUCUUGAGUAUCGGAGAGGCAGGCGGAAUUCCUAGUGUAGCGGUGAAAUGCGUAGAUAUUAGGAGGAACACCAGUGGCGAAGGCGGCCUGCUGGACGACAACUGACGGUGAGGCGCGAAAGCGUGGGGAGCAA
rnacentral:rRNA from 1 species